UGAUCCUAUAAGCAUGGCAACAGAUAUGU
rnacentral:piRNA from 1 species